rnacentral:rRNA from 1 species
UACGUAGGAUGCGAGCGUUGUCCGGAAUUAUUGGGCGUAAAGAGAACGUAGGUGGCUGAUUAAGUUCGGUCUUAAAGACCGGGGCUCAACCCCGGGAAUGGACUGAAAACUGGUUAGCUAGAGGAUGUUAGAGGACGGUGGAAUUCCCAGUGUAGCGGUGAAAUGCGUAGAUAUUGGGAGGAACACCAGUGGCGAAAGCGGCCGUCUGGAACAUUCCUGACACUGAGGUUCGAAAGCUCGGGGAGCAAAC